rnacentral:rRNA from 1 species
UACGUAGGGUGCAAGCGUUGUCCGGAAUUAUUGGGCGUAAAGAGCUCGUAGGCGGUUUGUCGCGUCUGCUGUGAAAACUCGGGGCUUAACUCCGGGCCUGCAGUGGGUACGGGCAGACUAGAGUGCGGUAGGGGUGACUGGAAUUCCUGGUGUAGCGGUGGAAUGCGCAGAUAUCAGGAGGAACACCGAUGGCGAAGGCAGGUCACUGGGCCGCAACUGACGCUGAGGAGCGAAAGCAUGGGGAGCGAACAGG